rnacentral:rRNA from 1 species
UACAGAGGGGGCAAGCGUUGUUCGGAAUUACUGGGCGUAAAGGGCGCGUAGGCGGCCGCCUAAGUCAGACGUGAAAUCCCUCGGCUCAACCGGGGAACUGCGUCUGAUACUGGGUGGCUUGAAUCCGGGAGAGGGAUGCGGAAUUCCAGGUGUAGCGGUGAAAUGCGUAGAUAUCUGGAGGAACACCGGUGGCGAAGGCGGCAUCCUGGACCGGCAUUGACGCUGAGGCGCGAAAGCCAGGGGAGCAAAGCAGG